GGCGAUGGUAAACCCCACUCGGAGCAAGACCAAAUAGGAAUCCGUAUGCUGCGGCCCGCAGUGGAUUCGGGUAGGUCGCUACAGGCCGGCGGCGACGCCGGUCGCAGAUGAAUGAUCGUCCACGACAGAACCCGGCUUAUCGACCGACUCACUUA
rnacentral:RNase_P_RNA from 1 species